rfam:Dipodomys ordii contig_9398, whole genome shotgun sequence.
CUUACGGAUUCAUUUGAAUCCACAAAAAAUCUAUAUAUUGAGAAAAU